rnacentral:rRNA from 1 species
ACGGGAGGCAGCAGUGGGGAAUAUUGCACAAUGGGCGAAAGCCUGAUGCAGCGACGCCGCGUGAGUGAAGAAGUAUUUCGGUAUGUAAAGCUCUAUCAGCAGGGAAGAAAAUGACGGUACCUGACUAAGAAGCCCCGGCUAACUACGUGCCAGCAGCCGCGGUAAUACGUAGGGGGCAAGCGUUAUCCGGAUUUACUGGGUGUAAAGGGAGCGUAGACGGCUGUGUAAGUCUGAAGUGAAAGCCCCGGGCUCAACUCGGGAACUGCUUUGGAAACUAUAUAGCUAGAGUGCAGGAGAGGUAAGUGGAAUUCCUAGUGUAGCGGUGAGAUGCGUAGAUAUUAGGAAGAACACCAGUGGCGAAGGCGGUUAGCUGGACAAUAACUGACGCUGAGGCGCGAAAGCGUGGGUAGCAAACAGGAUUAGAUACCCUGGUA